CUUCUCAUUGUGUAGUUAGCUAGCACGUUCGGCUGUAAUGGAAACUUGUAACUGAAAGGUCACCGGCGCGAUUCCGGUUGAGAAGA
rnacentral:tRNA from 1 species